AAUGAACGCUGGCGGCAUGCCUAACACAUGCAAGUCGAACGAAGCCUUCGGGCUUAGUGGCGCACGGGUGCGUAACGCGUGGGAAUCUGCCCUUGGGUUCGGGAAUAACAGUGGGAAACUACUGCUAAUACCGAAUGAUGUCGUAAGACCAAAGAUUUAUCGCCCAGGGAUGAGCCCGCGUAGGAUUAGCUAGUUGGUGUGGUAAAGGCGCACCAAGGCGACGAUCCUAGCUGGUCUGAGAGGAUGAUCAGCCACACUGGGACUGAGACACGGCCCAGACUCCUACGGGAGGCAGCAGUGGGGAAUAUUGGACAAUGGGCGAAAGCCUGAUCCAGCAAUGCCGCGUGAGUGAUGAAGGCC
rnacentral:rRNA from 1 species